rnacentral:rRNA from 1 species
UACGGGGGGUGCGAGCGUUGUCCGGAAUUACUGGGCGUAAAGGGCUUGUAGGUGGCCAACUAAGUCAGACGUGAAAUCCCUCGGCUUAACCGGGGAACUGCGUCUGAUACUGGAUGGCUUGAGUGUGGGAGAGGGAUGCGGAAUUCCAGGUGUAGCGGUGAAAUGCGUAGAUAUCUGGAGGAACACCGGUGGCGAAGGCGGCAUCCUGGACCAUUACUGACACUGAAAAGCGAAAGCCAGGGGAGCAAACGGG